AGAAAAAUAAGCUAAAUAAGCUAUUAGGUUCAUACCCUAUAUAUAGAAGUAAAUAAUCUUAUUUUUUA
rnacentral:tRNA from 1 species